rnacentral:rRNA from 1 species
GCGGCUACACAUGCAAGUCGAACGGUAACAGGAAGCAGCUUGCUGCUUCGCUGACGAGUGGCGGACGGGUGAGUAAUGUCUGGGAAACUGCCUGAUGGAGGGGGAUAACUACUGGAAACGGUAGCUAAUACCGCAUAACGUCGCAAGACCAAAGAGGGGGACCUUCGGGCCUCUUGCCAUCGGAUGUGCCCAGAUGGGAUUAGCUAGUAGGUGGGGUAACGGCUCACCUAGGCGACGAUCCCUAGCUGGUCUGAGAGGAUGACCAGCCACACUGGAACUGAGACACGGUCCAGACUCCUACGGGAGGCAGCAGUGGGGAAUAUUGCACAAUGGGCGCAAGCCUGAUGCAGCCAUGCCGCGUGUAUGAAGAAGGCCUUCGGGUUGUAAAGUACUUUCAGCGGGGAGGAAGGCGAUAAGGUUAAUAACCUUGUCGAUUGACGUUACCCGCAGAAGAAGCACCGGCUAACUCCGUGUCAGCAGCCGCGGUAUACGGAAGGUGCAAGCGUU